rnacentral:rRNA from 1 species
UCUUACGGCCACACCGCCUGGUUCACGCUUGAUCUCGGAAGAUAAGAUAGGUUGGGCCUGGUUAGUACUUGGAUGGGAGACCACCUGGGAAUACCAGGUGCUGUAAGCU